rnacentral:rRNA from 2 species
AGCAUAUCAAUAAGCGGAGGAAAAGAAACCAACAGGGAUUGCCCUAGUAACGGCGAGUGAAGCGGCAACAGCUCAAAUUUGAAAUCUGGCUCUCGGGCCCGAGUUGUAAUUUGUAGAGGAUACUUUUGAUGCGGUGCCUUCCGAGUUCCCUGGAACGGGACGCCAUAGAGGGUGAGAGCCCCGUCUGGUUGGAUGCCAAAUCUCUGUAAAGUUCCUUCGACGAGUCGAGUAGUUUGGGAAUGCUGCUCUAAAUGGGAGGUAUAUGUCUUCUAAAGCUAAAUACCGGCCAGAGACCGAUAGCGCACAAGUAGAGUGAUCGAAAGAUGAAAAGCACUUUGAAAAGAGAGUUAAAAAGUACGUGAAAUUGUUGAAAGGGAAGCGUUUAUGACCAGACUUGGGCUUGGUUAAUCAUCUGGGGUUCUCCCCAGUGCACUUUUCCAGUCCAGGCCAGCAUCAGUUUUCCCCGGGGGAUAAAGACUUCGGGAAUGUGGCUCUCUUCGGGGAGUGUUAUAGCCCGUUGUGUAAUACCCUGGGGGGGACUGAGGUUCGCGCAUCUGCAAGGAUGCUGGCGUAAUGGUCAUCAACGACCCGUCUUGAAACACGGACCAAGGAGUCGUCUUCGUAUGCGAGUGUUCGGGUGUCAAACCCCUACGCGUAAUGAAAGUGAACGCAGGUGAGAGCUUCGGCGCAUCAUCGACCGAUCCUGAUGUUCUCGGAUGGAUUUGAGUAAGAGCAUACGGGGCCGGACCCGAAAGAAGGUGAACUAUGCCUGUAUAGGGUGAAGCCAGAGGAAACUCUGGUGGAGGCUCGCAGCGGUUCUGACGUGCAAAUCGAUCGUCAAAUAUGGGCAUGGGGGCGAAAGACUAAUCGAACCUUCUAGUAGCUGGUUUCCGCCGAA